UACGUAGGGGGCAAGCGUUGUCCGGAAUCAUUGGGCGUAAAGAGCGUGUAGGCGGUCCGGUAAGUCGGCUGUGAAAGUCCAGGGCUCAACCCUGGGAUGCCGGUCGAUACUGCCGGACUAGAGUUCGGAAGAGGCGAGUGGAAUUCCCGGUGUAGCGGUGAAAUGCGCAGAUAUCAGGAGGAACACCAAUUGCGAAGGCAGCUCGCUGGGACGUUACUGACGCUGAGACGCGAAAGCGUGGGUAGCAAACAGG
rnacentral:rRNA from 1 species